UGGGCAGAAAAACUCCAUUGAAACCAUUCCUCUCCCCUAUACGUGUGCUCCCAAGGCAUGGGGAGACCAAAAAACUGAACCAAUUAAAAUAUGUCAUUGAUUUGACAGAAUGGGCAUAGAAUGUAUUAAGUAUUGUUAAAUCAAAAACCCAAAACUCUCUAUUUACUAAUUGAUUUAAAAGAAACUCUUCCUAAUGUUUCUCUCCUGCAUCAAUCAUCUCUCUCUCUCUGCACCUUCUUUCUAACCGUGAAUGCCAUAACAAAAAAACUAUCAUCUUCAAACCCUUCACUUUGAAUCCAUAAAUGCAAUCCCCAAAAUUUCAACAUAUCAUACCAAUCAAAAUCCAUUUUAAACCUAAACCCUAAAUCAGAAAUAGCAAACAAAUAUUCACACGCUACAGAUCCAAACAUAUGUAAAUGAAUUCUAGCGAUUUCAUGAUCGACCAAAACAGUAAAAGGUUCCCAACGGUAUGGUGCAUCAUUUAUACAAAUAAAACAUGCAUAUCAAUGAAAAAUGAGGCGAUGUAAAGCUCGCUGGAAAAAAGAGUUUCCGACGAGGGUACCAGCGAUGUAACCCAACCUCGAGAGUAACAAUGCAGAAAUCGGGGGCCUCCCUUACGAUGAUUGGUGGUCUCUUUAUAUAGAGUGAAGAGAAGUGGUCCCUUAAUCAUGAGCUCGAAGGAGGGAGAAGAAUCAUUCCGUUAGAGUGGGAUUUUCUCAUGGAUUUGGUGUGGUCCCCAAACAAUGAAUGUGGCAAGGCGAGUUCAUUUUGUUGGUAAGAUCUCAACAAAAAUGCGUGACCGUUCUCAAUAGCUUUUUUUUACGGAAGUAAGACCUGUAUUUGUCAUGGUAAGAAUCUUGAUUUUACUGUCAUGAAAGUUGAGUUCUAAAUGUAAUUUGUAUCUCCUUAGCUCAAAGAUUAGCUUAUUGGCUUAGCUAUUCUUUCCUUUUUUACUGAUGUGUGGUUUUGGAACAUAAAGGAUUUGAUUUGGUUUGUGUCAACAGCUAUUUUUACGAAAUCCACCAGGAAUUGUUGAUUGUCUUUGGCUUCAACUUGCAGGUUUUGCAACCUGAGAAAAUGAACAUAGAUGGCGUCCAAACUAGGUAUCCCUUUAAGGUGACUUGCAGGUUACAGUUGGAUUUCCAUUUAAACGGAUGAUACAAAGGACUCUUGGUAUUUUGGUUGGCUUGAGGGCUUUCUCAAGAAAAGGAGUGAGUUGCAUGUUGAAUUGACAUCAAAUGCGGUUGUUUAAAGUGAGCACGGACCUGUAAGGAAGCGUCCAUGGCAAGGUGUUUUGGUUUGUUCACCAUGAAAUUGUCCAUUAUCGUUGGUCAGGUGUAUUACCUAUGUUUGGAUCGGACCCGCUGCAGAUUAUGGUUUGACAAGGGCUACCUUGGUUUCACGCUUAGGGCUUGUGGUUGUAGGUUUUCUGUAAUGAUAGAGCUAAAUCAGGUAGAACCAAAUUAUGUAUCUGUUUGUUAUGAUUCUAAAGCAUGUGUACUCAACUUGCAUUGGUGGUUUGUAGCAAGGAUUGGUUAUAGUUCAGACACCCCUUUUUAGCUUCUUUUUCUAAACUGAUGGGCUUCUUAAAGCGCUCCCUACGUUUCUCCAUUUUAGCCAAUGUAACAAGAAUCUUCUUGCUGCCAAUAUUACUCAUUUGCAACUCAGAA